rnacentral:rRNA from 2 species
UUAUACGGCGAAACUGCGAAUGGCUCAUUAUAUAAGUUAUCGUUUAUUUGAUAGUGCCUUACUACUUGGAUAACCGUGGUAAUUCUAGAGCUAAUACAUGCUGAAGAAUCCCGACUUCGGAAGGGAUGCUGUUAUUAGAUUAAAAACCAAUGCCCCUCUGGGGCUCUGUGGUGAUUCAUGAUAACCUCGCGAAUCGCACGGCCUUGCGCCGGCGAUGGCUCAUUCAAAUUUCUUCCCUAUCAACUUUCGAUGUUUGGGUAUUGUCCAAACAUGGUUGCAACGGGUGACGGAGGGUUAGGGCUCGACCCCGGAGAAGGAGCCUGAGAAACGGCUACUACAUCCAAGGAAGGCAGCAGGCGCGCAAAUUACCCAAUCCCGAUUCGGGGAGGUAGUGACAAUAAAUACUGAUACAGGGCUCUUUCGGGUCUUGUAAUUGGAAUGAGUACAACUUAAAUCCCUUAACGAGGAACAAUUGGAGGGCAAGUCUGGUGCCAGCAGCCGCGGUAAUUCCAGCUCCAAUAGCGUAUAUUAAAGUUGUUGUGGUUAAAAAGCUCGUAGUUGAACCUUGGGCCUGGCUGGCCGGUCCGCCUCACCGCGUGUACUGGUCCGGCCGGGUCUUUCCCUCUGUGGAACCCCAUGCCCUUCACUGGGUGUGGCGGGGAAGCAGGACUUUUACUUUGAAAAAAUUAGAGUGCUCCAGGCAGGCCUAUGCUCGAAUACAUUAGCAUGGAAUAAUGAAAUAGGACGUGCGGUUCUAUUUUGUUGGUUUCUAGGACCGCCGUAAUGAUUAAUAGGGACAGUCGGGGGCAUCAGUAUUCAAUAGUCAGAGGUGAAAUUCUUGGAUCUAUUGAAGACUAACUACUGCGAAAGCAUUUGCCAAGGAUGUUUUCAUUAAUCAGGAACGAAAGUUAGGGGAUCGAAGACGAUCAGAUACCGUCGUAGUCUUAACCAUAAACUAUGCCGACUAGGGAUCGGACGAUGUUAAUUUUUGACUCGUUCGGCACCUUACGA